GGCGAACGCUGGCGGCGUGCUUAACACAUGCAAGUCGAACGGGAUCCGGGCUUUCGGGUUUGGUGAGAGUGGCGAACGGGUGAGUAACACGUGAGUAACCUGCCCCCUUCUUUGGGAUAACGUCGGGAAAUCGGCGCUAAUACUGGAUAUUCUUGCUGCAUCGCAUGGUGUGGUUUGGAAAGGGUUUCUGGUGGGGGAUGGGCUCGCGGCCUAUCAGCUUGUUGGUGGGGUGAUGGCCUACCAAGGCUUUGACGGGUAGCCGGCCUGAGAGGGUGUCCGGCCACACUGGGACUGAGACACGGCCCAGACUCCUACGGGAGGCAGCAGUGGGGAAUAUUGCACAAUGGGCGCAAGCCUGAUGCAGCGACGCCGCGUGAGGGAUGACGGCCUUCGGGUUGUAAACCUCUUUCAGUAUGGAACAAGGAUCCUUCUUUUGGGGGGUUUGAGGGUACGUGCAGAAGAAGCGCCGGCUAACUACGUG
rnacentral:rRNA from 1 species